CGAAAAAUUCUUGCCUUGCGCGAUCUAAGUCUAAGGAAAUACAAAAAUGCGCUUAUACACCAAUUUCAUCCACAUCGAAUUUAUAUAUCAGAAUAGCAGAUAGAGGCAUUAUUCAAGGGGUCAGGUCUACUUACUUUAUCUUUCUUUCCCAUUUUAUUGUGGGUUUGAUAAGAACCUUUUUUGCUUUGUGGAUAAAUAAAAAAAAAGAGUUUUUUUUUUUAACCCGCUUGUUUUAUUCUAACAAAUUCUAUAUGGAACUGCCCGCUGAAGAGAAAAAAGAUCUGAUUGUCUUUCAGCCUAUAUCGAAUUUUGGAAAGAAAAAACCAG
rnacentral:misc_RNA from 1 species